rnacentral:lncRNA from 1 species
AAUGCAGCCAAGACAGCAUUGAAGCGGAGAAGAGCCAGCCAUGGCAGAGGGUGCUGCUCCCGGGCACGCACGGGGACGCAGGUGCCUGGAGGAACAGGAGGCACUGAACACUAUCAGCUGGAGGCGUGGGGCUGGGAGAGGCCAAGAGGGACCUCCACGUGGAGCUGAGGAGCAGAAGCCCUCAUUAGGGCCCACAAAGGGCUUAGCCCUGGGAUUACACAGAGCCUGUGAGUGCCGCCCCAGCAGGCCAGCCUCGCGUCGGGAGAGACUUAAUGGCCUGGGCUGCAGCCGACACCAACAUAAAGUGCGCUUGUUCCCAGCAAUUUUAACAAGGUAUUUAUGGACGUGGGACAAGCUCGGGACAACACUUGGCUUAUGCGCCUGGCUGCCCAGACAAUCGGGGCAAAGAGGCGGGUCAGCACAAGGGCCCAGUGAUAAAGGCCACAAAAGGCAGGCAGAACUGAGGGACCAUUCACCCCACCACCUGGGGAUGGCCCUCCCUGCCUCGUUAGCAUGCAGCCAGAUGGUCUCCCUGGGGAGGACCUUCACCCUCACCAAAGUGGGGGACACAGCAUCGUCCCAGAUUGUAGGCCUGGGAAGCUUACUACCAACACCUCUCUCUCUCUCUCUCUUUCUCUCUCUCUCUCUAUACUCAGAAGAUUGGACUCAGGCCUCAGAGCAUCCAUUCCAGAGUAGCCCUGAGACCAUGGGACAGACUGAGGUUCCAUCCUGGAUGUGCAGAGGGCAAUGCCAGGUUCCUUCCACCCACCAUAUCCACACCCACACGGCCACUUCCUGUCCUCAGCUCUCGACUCAGUUGCCCCUGGCUCAAAGAGGAUUCCUGGAGGUGGUGGUGUCCAUAGGGCCUGGAAAGAGGAGUUGGAUCUGGCCAAGAGAGGAGCAGAGGGGAAAGGAAGCAUGCGUAGGGCCUGAGCCCAGCAGGCAGAGACAGAGGAGUCCUGGGCCACAGUGCAUGUCCUUGGAGAGAGAGACUUGGGGUUCUGCCCUACUGCAAUUAACAACAGGAGCCCUGACCUCAUACCCAGCAUUUAUUGUAUGCUUUAUGAGUUCCAUUUUAUCUUCAUGAACACCCUAUGAGAGAACUCUAGUUAUCUCCAGCAAGCAGGCACAGGGAGGUUAGAAACUCAGAAACUCAAAUGGUGCCAUCUGAGGCAGGUGGGGUCAGGUCUGUGAUGUGGGUUUCAUUUGCUGCCAGUGACCAUGCCCAGUAACCAUGCAGGAGCCUAUGGCAGGCUGCACUGCAUGCGCUAGCAGAGGCAGCUCGGGACUUGGAGAGGGGAUACCUGGUUCCACCCUCAGCUCUGACUUACUUUGGGGUUUCCCAAAGAUAACUGAGAUGAGAACAUAGCAGUUUAUUGAGAGGUGGCCCUAGAGGACAA